UACGUAGGGUGCAAGCGUUGUCCGGAAUUAUUGGGCGUAAAGAGCUCGUAGGCGGUCUGUUGCGUCGGCUGUGAAAACCCGGGGCUCAACCCCGGGCCUGCAGCCGAUACGGGCAGACUAGAGUUCGGCAGGGGAGACUGGAAUUCCUGGUGUAGCAGUGAAAUGCGUAGAUAUCCGGAGGAACACCGGUGGCGAAGGCGGCUUCCUGGACCGACACUGACGCUGAGGCGCGAAAGCUAGGGGAGCAAACGGG
rnacentral:rRNA from 1 species